CAUACGGGUUGAAGCAUGACCGUAAGGACAUGUGGACAGUAUGGGAGUGAGAAUGUUGGCAUGAGUAGCGAGAUGUGGGUGAGAAUCCCACAGGCCGUAAACCCAAGGUUUCCAGGGGAAGGUUCGUCCGCCCUGGGUUAGUCGGGACCUAAGCUGAGGCCGAAAGGCGUAGGUGAUGGACAACAGGUUGAUAUUCCUGUACUACCGAUAACCGUUUGAGAGAAGGGAUGACACAGUAGGAUAAGCUAAGCACACUGUUGGUUAUGUGUGCCCAAGCAUUGAGGCAGUCAAAGCAGGCAAAUCCGCUUUGAUAAUGCUGGGAUGUGAUGGGGAGCGAAAUUUAGUAGCGAAGUAGCUGAUUUCACACUGUCAAGAAAAGUCUCUAUCGAGGUUAAAGGUACCCGUACCGCAAACCGACACAGGUGGGUGAGGAGAGUAUCCUAAGGCCAGCGAGAGAACUGUUGUUAAGGAACUCGGCAAAAUGACCCCGUAACUUAGGGAUAAGGGGUGCCACCAUCCGGUGGCCGCAGAGAAUAGGCCCAAGCGACUGUUUACCAAAAACAUAGGUUUCUGCUAAGUCGCAAGACGAUGUAUAGGAGCUGACGCCUGCCCGGUGCUGGAAGGUUAAGGGGAUCUGUUAGAGCAAUCGAAGCAGUGAACUUAAGCCCCAGUAAACGGCGGCCGUAACUAUAACGGUCCUAAGGUAGCGAAAUUCCUUGUCGGGUAAGUUCCGACCCGCACGAAAGGCGUAACGAUUUGGGCACUGUCUCAACAACAGACUCGGUGAAAUUGUAAUUCCGGUGAAGAUGCCGGAUACCUGCGACAGGACGGAAAGACCCCAUGGAGCUUUACUGUAGCUUGACAUUGGGUCUUGGUACUACAUGUACAGGAUAGGUGGGAGGCUUUGAAACCAGGACGCCAGUUUUGGCGGAGCCAUCCUUGGGAUACCACCCUUGUAGUACUGGGACUCUAACCAUAGGCCAUGAAUCUGGUCUUGGGACACUGUCAGGUGGGCAGUUUGACUGGGGCGGUCGCCUCCCAAAAGGUAACGGAGGCGCUCAAAGGUUCUCUCAGUACGGUCGGAAAUCGUACGUAGAGUGUAAAGGCAAAAGAGAGCUUGAUUGCAAGACAUACAGGUCGAGCAAGGAUGAAAAUCGGACUUAGUGAUCCGGUGGUUCUGCGUGGAAGGGCCAUCGCUCAACGGAUAAAAGCUACCCUGGGGAUAACAGGCUUAUCUCCCCCAAGAGUCCACAUCGACGGGGAGGUUUGGCACCUCGAUGUCGGCUCAUCACAUCCUGGGGCUGUAGUAGGUCCCAAGGGUUGGGCUGUUCGCCCAUUAAAGUGGUACGCGAGCUGGGUUCAGAACGUCGUGAGACAGUUCGGUCCCUAUCCGUCGCAGGCGUAGGAAAUUUGAGAAGACCUGUCCUUAGUACGAGAGGACCGGGAUGGACGUACCUCUGGUGUACCAGUUGUUCUGCCAAGGGCAUGGCUGGGUAGCUAUGUACGGAAUGGAUAAGCGCUGAAAGC
rnacentral:rRNA from 1 species